rnacentral:pre_miRNA from 1 species
UUAACUUAAAUUUGUAUGGAUUUGGAACGUUUUCCUAAGUUUGCCGCUAGGAGCGCUGUUUUAGCUGCAUACAAAUUUGAGUUA